rnacentral:rRNA from 1 species
UACGUAGGGUGCAAGCGUUAAUCGGAAUUACUGGGCGUAAAGCGUGCGCAGGCGGUUUUGCAAGUCUGUCGUGAAAUCCCCGGGCUCAACCUGGGAAUUGCGAUGGAGACUGCAAGGCUAGAAUCUGGCAGAGGGGGGUAGAAUUCCACGUGUAGCAGUGAAAUGCGUAGAGAUGUGGAGGAAUACCGAUGGCGAAGGCAGCCCCCUGGGCCAAUACUGACGCUCAUGCACGAAAGCGUGGGGAGCAAACAGG